rnacentral:rRNA from 1 species
UACGUAGGGCGCAAGCGUUAUCCGGAAUUAUUGGGCGUAAAGAGCUCGUAGGCGGUGUGUCGCGUCGGCCGUGAAAACCUGCAGCUUAACUGUGGGCUUGCGGUCGAUACGGGCAUCACUGGAGUUCGGCAGGGGAGACUGGAAUUCCUGGUGUAGCGGUGAAAUGCGCAGAUAUCAGGAGGAACACCGGUGGCGAAGGCGGGUCUCUGGGCCGAUACUGACGCUGAGGAGCGAAAGCGUGGGGAGCGAACAG